GCUUAGUAGCUCAGUUGGUUGGAGCGCUACCCUAGAGUGUUAGUGACACAGGUUCAAACCCCAAUGCUUCUUAAGCU